CAGUAGCCACGGUAAUACGUAGGGUGCAAGCGUUAAUCGGAAUUACUGGGCGUAAAGCGUGCGCAGGCGGUUAUAUAAGUCAGAUGUGAAAUCCCCGGGCUCAACCUGGGAACUGCAUUUGAGACUGUAUGGCUAGAGUGUGUCAGAGGGGGGUAGAAUUCCACGUGUAGCAGCGAAAUGCGUAGAUAUGUGGAGGAAUACCGAUGGCGAAGGCAGCCCCCUGGGCCAAUACUGACGCUCAUGCACGAAAGCGUGGGGAGCAAACAGGAUUAGAUACCCGUGUAGUCCCUGUCUCUUAUAC
rnacentral:rRNA from 1 species